rnacentral:rRNA from 1 species
AACGAACGCUGGCGGCAGGCUUAACACAUGCAAGUCGAGCGCCCCGCAAGGGGAGCGGCAGACGGGUGAGUAACGCGUGGGAAUCUACCCAUCUCUACGGAAUAACGCAUGGAAACGUGUGCUAAUACCGUAUACGUCCUUCGGGAGAAAGAUUUAUCGGAGAUGGAUGAGCCCGCGUUGGAUUAGCGAGUUGGUGGGGUAAAGGCCUACCAAGGCGACGGACCAUAGCUGGUCUGAGAGGAUGAUCAGCCACACUGGGACUGAGACACGGCCCAGACUCAUACGGGAGGCAGCAGUGGAGAAUAUUAGACAAUGGGCGCAAGCCUGAUCCAGCCAUGCCGCGUGAGUGAUGAAGGCCCUAGGGUUGUAAAGCUCUUUCACCGGUGAAGAUAAUGACGGUAACCGGAGAAGAAGCCCCGGCUAACUUCGUGCCAGCAGCCGCAGUAACAC